rnacentral:tRNA from 1 species
GUCGUAACAAGGUAUCCCUACCGGAAGGUGGGGAUGGCAUCACCUCCUUUCUAAGGAAACAAUUAUCAUCUUCAGUUUUGAGAGACUUAAGAAAGUUUUUCAUUGUCACUUGCUUGCAAAUUGUAUUUGCAACAUUUUAAUCUUUUUAAGAUUAAGGGCCUAUAGCUCAGUUGGUUAGAGCACACGCCUGAUAAGCGUGAGGUCGGUGGUUCAAGUCCAUUUAGGCCCACC